rnacentral:rRNA from 1 species
AACGAACGCUGGCGGCAGGCCUAACACAUGCAAGUCGAGCGGACCCAUCGGGGUUGGCGGCGGAUGGGGGGGUAGAGCGUGGGGAUAUGCCCUUCUCUAUGGAAUAGUCCUGGGAAACUGGGGGUAAUACCGGAGACGCUCUUUGGGGGGAAGAUUUAACGGGGAAGGAUGAGCCCGCGUUGGAUUAGGUUGUUGGUGGGGUAAUGGCCUACAAAGCCGACGAUCGAUAGCUGGUUAGAGAGGAUGGGCAGCGACACUGGGACGGAGACACGGCCCAGAAUCCUACGGGAAGCAGCAAUGGGGGAUCUUAGAAAACGGGGGCAAUGCUGAACUAGCCAGGCCGGGAGAGUGAUGAAGGCCUGAGGGUUGUAAAGCUCGUUCAGCUGGGAAUAUAAUGACGGUACCAGCAGAAUAAGCCCCGGCUAACUCCGUG